rnacentral:rRNA from 1 species
AUUGAACGCUGGCGGCAGGCCUAACACAUGCAAGUCGAGCGAGCGGCGGACGGGUGAGUAAUGUCUGGGAAACUGCCCGAUGGAGGGGGAUAACUACUGGAAACGGUAGCUAAUACCGCAUACCAUCGGAUGUGCCCAGAUGGGAUUAGCUAGGAGGUGGGGUAACGGCUCACCUAGGCGACGAUCCCUAGCUGGUCUGAGAGGAUGACCAGCCACACUGGAACUGAGACACGAUCCAGACGCCUACGUGAGGCAGCAGUGGGGAAGAGUGCACAAUGGGCGCAAGCCUGAGGCAGACAUGCCGCGGGUAUGAAGAAGGCCUUCGGGUUGUAAAGUACUUUCAGCGAGGAGGCGUUACUCGCAGAAGAAGCACCGGCUAACUCCGUGCCAGCAGCCGCGGUAAUUC